CAGCAGCCGCGGUAAUACGUAGGUGGCAAGCGUUGUCCGGAUUUAUUGGGCGUAAAGCGAGCGCAGGCGGUUUUUUAAGUCUGAUGUGAAAGCCUUCGGCUCAACCGAAGAAGUGCAUCGGAAACUGGGAAACUUGAGUGCAGAAGAGGACAGUGGAACUCCAUGUGUAGCGGUGAAAUGCGUAGAUAUAUGGAAGAACACCAGUGGCGAAGGCGGCUGUCUGGUCUGUAACUGACGCUGAGGCUCGAAAGUAUGGGUAGCAAACAGGAUUAGAUACCCUGGUAGUCCAUACCGUAAACGAUGAAUGCUAAGUGUUGGAGGGUUUCCGCCCUUCAGUGCUGCAGCUAACGCAUUAAGCAUUC
rnacentral:rRNA from 2 species